rnacentral:rRNA from 1 species
ACUCAAUAGAUACCCGGGUAGUCCUAGCUGUAAACGAUGAGCACUGGGUUGAAGGGUCCUCCAUAGCCUUUCAGCCGCAGCGAAAGUGUUAAGUGCUCCGCCUGGGGAGUAUGGUCGCAAGGCUGAAACUCAAAGAAAUUGACGGGGGCUCACACAAGCGGUGGAGGAUGUGGCUUAAUUCGAGGCUACGCGAAGAACCUUAUCCUAGUCUUGACAUGCACGGAUUAACUCCUGGAAACAGGAGCCAGGCCUUCGGGUACAACGUGCACAGGUGCUGCAUGGCUGUCGUCAGCUCGUGCUGUGAAGUGUCGGGUUAAGUCCCUUAACGAGCGAAACCCUUGUCGCUAGUUGCCAGCGGGUAAAGCCGGGGACUCUAGCGAGACCGCCGGCGUUAAGCCGGAGGAAGGUGGGGAGUGACGUCAAGUCCUCAUGGCCUUAUGACUAGGGCUGCACACGUCCUACAAUGGCCUGCACAAACGGGACGCAAAGGUACGCGAGACCAAGCAAAUCCCAAAAA